rnacentral:rRNA from 1 species
AUUACUCCUACGGGAGGCAGCAGUUGGGAAUCUUGGACAAUGGGGGAAACCCUGAUCCAGCCAUGCCGCGUGAGUGAUGAAGGCCUUCGGGUUGUAAAACUCUUUCGACGGGGACGAUAAUGACGGUACCCGUAGAAUAAGCACCGGCUAACUACGUGCCAGCAGCCGCGGUAAUAAU